ACGAACGCUGGCGGCGUGCCUAAUACAUGCAAGUUGAGCGCUGAAGGUUGGUACUUGUACCAACUGGAUGAGCAGCGAACGGGUGAGUAACGCGUGGGGAAUCUGCCUUUGAGCGGGGGACAACAUUUGGAAACGAAUGCUAAUACCGCAUAAAAACUUUAAACACAAGUUUUAAGUUUGAAAGAUGCAAUUGCAUCACUCAAAGAUGAUCCCGCGUUGUAUUAGCUAGUUGGUGAGGUAAAGGCUCACCAAGGCGAUGAUACCUAGCCGACCUGAGAGGGUGAUCGGCCACAUUGGGACUGAGACACGGCCCAAACUCCUACGGGAGGCAGCAGUAGGGAAUCUUCGGCAAUGGACGAAAGUCUGACCGAGCAACGCCGCGUGAGUGAAGAAGGUUUUCGGAUCGUAAAACUCUGUUGGUAGAGAAGAACGUUGGUGAGAGUGGAAAGCUCAUCAAGUGACGGUAACUACCCAGAAAGGGACGGCUAACUACGUG
rnacentral:rRNA from 1 species